GAUGAAGAACGUAGUGAAAUGCGAUACUUGGUGUGAAUUGCAGAAUCCCGUGAACCAUCGAGUCUUUGAACGCAAGUUGCGCCCGAAGCCACUAGGCCGAGGGCACGCCUGCCUGGGCGUCACACGUCGUUGCCCCCCCCCCCAUCUACUCCUUCGGGAUUGCGGGGGGCGGAUGAUGGCCUCCCGUGCGCCUAGCCGCGCGGUUGGCAUAAAUACCAAGUCCUCGGCGACGCACGCCACGACAAUCGGUGGUUGCGAAACCUCGGUUGCCCGUCGUGUGCGUUCGUCGCGCAUCGAGGGCUCGAAAAAAUGCUCGGCUCCGGCUCGGCUUUCAACGCGACCCCAGGUCAGGCGGGGUUACCCGCUGAAUUUAAGCAUAUCAAUAAGCGGAGGA
rnacentral:misc_RNA from 1 species